UCUCACAGAAAAUUGAAGAGUUUGACGUUACUCAUUGACAACCUUAAGGAAAUGGGAUUGGACAACGAGGUUGCUACGUUGGAGAAGCAGAAAAAGUUGUUGGAGAAAAUUCCGGGCAUGGAAUUGAAUGAAGAAACCAAGAAACUGAGACAGGCUUGUUUCAAAUCUAAUUACAAGAAGAGAAGAUUGAUUACCUUCCAUCAUUGAACUUAUCAUUGAACUUCACUGUCAUUUGCAUAUUGGAAUGUUGGAUAUAACAGUAAAAAGCCUCACACAAAGAGUAUAGAGAAUGUGAAAAACUCAAGACAUGUUACUUGUUUUUUCAUGUUGUUUUGGUUUUUUCUUAUAUGUCCGUGGAGCAUCAUAACUUCAUUGCCAUCACCAUGAUUUCCACAUCCACCAACCAUGGUGUUCCAUGCCACAACAUUUCGAAUCGACAUCUCGUUGAA